UACGAAGGGGGCGAGCGUUAUUCGGAAUCACUGGGCGUAAAGCGUGCGUAGGCUGUUUUGUAAGUUGGAAGUGAAAGCCCACGGCUCAACCGUGGAGGGUCAUUGGAAACUGGGGAACUUGAGUGCAGAAGGGGAAAGUGGAAUUCCAAGUGUAGCGGUGAAAUGCGUAGAGAUUUGGAGGAACACCAGUGGCGAAGGCGACUUUCUGGUCUGUAACUGACACUGAGGCGCGAAAGCGUGGGGAGCAAACAGG
rnacentral:rRNA from 1 species